rfam:Nannochloropsis gaditana chloroplast, complete genome.
GCGGAUGUGGCGAAAUUGGUAGCCGCGCUGGACUUAGAAUCCAGUGGGUAAUUCCUUGAGAGUUCGAGUCUCUCCAUCCGCA